GAUGAACGCUAGCGGCAGGCCUAACACAUGCAAGUCGAGGGGCAGCACGUCUUCGGAUGGUGGCGACCGGCGCACGGGUGCGUAACGCGUAUGCAACCUACCUCUUACAGUGGGAUAGCCCAGAGAAAUUUGGAUUAAUACCGCAUAGUAUACAGAUUCAGCAUUGGGACUGUAUUAAACAUUUAUGGGUAAGAGAUGGGCAUGCGUUCUAUUAGUUAGUUGGAGUGGUAACGGCACCCCAAGACAGCGAUAGAUAGGGGCCCUGAGAGGGGGAUCCCCCACACUGGUACUGAGACACGGCCCAGACUCCUACGGGAGGCAGCAGUGGGGAAUCUUGGACAAUGGGGGAAACCCUGAUCCAGCCAUGCCGCGUGAGUGAUGAAGGCCUUAGGGUCGUAAAGCGCUUUCACCUGUGAUGAUGAUGACAGUAGCAGGAGAAGAAGCCCCGGCUAACUCCGUGCCAGCAGCCGCGGUAAAGUG
rnacentral:rRNA from 1 species